CCUACGGGUGGCAGCAGUGAGGAAUAUUGGUCAAUGGACGCAAGUCUGAACCAGCCAUGCCGCGUGCAGGAAGACGGCUCUAUGAGUUGUAAACUGCUUUUGUACGAGGGUAAACGCAGAUACGCGUAUCUGUCUGAAAGUAUCGUACGAAUAAGGAUCGGCGAACUCCGUGCCAGCAGCCGCGGUAAUACGGAGGAUUCAAGCGUUUUCCGGAUUUAUUGGGUUUAAAGGGUGCGUAGGCGGUCGGAUAAGUUAGAGGUGAAAUCCCGAGGCUCAACUUCGGAAUUGCCUCUGAUACUGUUCGGCUAGAGAGUAGUAGCGGUAGGCGGAAUGUAUGGUGUAGCGGUGAAAUGCUUAGAGAUCAUACAGAACACCGAUUGCGAAGGCAGCUUACCAAGCUACUUCUGACGUUGAGGCACGAAAGCGUGGGGAGCGAACAGGAUUAGAUACCCCGGUAGUC
rnacentral:rRNA from 1 species